UACAUCAGACAGGGGUGCCUUGAUCGGCUGAGAUCUGCGCUGGGCGCAGGGUCCCUUAUUACCUGAUCCGGAUCAUACCGGCGUAGGGAGUCGAAGUUUUCGUGUU
rfam:Butyricicoccus pullicaecorum 1.2 genomic scaffold acBRa-supercont1.1, whole genome shotgun sequence.